rnacentral:rRNA from 1 species
GGGUGGGGACUCAUGAGAGACUGCCGCAGACAAUGCGGAGGAAGGCGGGGAUGACGUCAAAUCAUCAUGCCCCUUAUGACCUGGGCUACACACGUACUACAAUGGGAGUUAAUAGACGGAAGCGAGAUCGCGAGAUGGAGCAAACCCGAGAAACACUCUCUCAGUUCGGAUCGUAGGCUGCAACUCGCCUACGUGAAGUCGGAAUCGCUAGUAAUCGCAGGUCAGCAUACUGCGGUGAAUACGUUCCCGGGCCUUGUACACACCGCCCGUCACACCACGAAAGUCGGAAGUGCCCAAAGCCGGUGGGGUAACC